UACGGGGGGGGCAAGCGUUGUUCGGAAUUACUGGGCGUAAAGGGCUUGUAGGUGGCUGAUUAAGUCAGACGUGAAAUCCCUCAGCUUAACUGGGGAACUGCGUCUGAUACUGGUUAGCUUGAGUGCAGGAGAGGAACGCGGAAUUCCAGGUGUAGCGGUGAAAUGCGUAGAUAUCUGGAGGAACACCGGUGGCGAAGGCGGCGUUCUGGACUGCAACUGACACUGAAAAACGAAAGCCAGGGGAGCAAACGGG
rnacentral:rRNA from 1 species